AGAACGAACGCUGGCGGCAUGCCUAACACAUGCAAGUCGAACGAACCCUUCGGGGUUAGUGGCGCACGGGUGCGUAACGCGUGGGAACCUACCAUCAGGUUCGGAAUAACAGUUAGAAAUGACUGCUAAUACCGGAUAAUGUCUUCGGACCAAAGAUUUAUCGCCUUUUGAUGGGCCCGCGUUGGAUUAGCUAGUUGGUAAGGUAAAAGCUUACCAAGCGACGAUCCAUAGCUGGUCUGAGAGGAUGAUCAGCCACACU
rnacentral:rRNA from 1 species